rnacentral:rRNA from 1 species
CCUGGUUGAUCCUGCCAGUAGUCAUAUGCUUGUCUCAAAGAUUAAGCCAUGCAUGUGUAAGCACACACUGUGUUAAAAGUGAAGCCGCGAAUGGCUCAUUACAACAGCCACAGUUUAUUAGAACUUACUCUCAUGGAUAACUGUGGUAAUUCUAGAGCUAAACGUCGAAACUGUUUGGUGAAUCUGAAUAACUAUUUCUGAUCGCAUGGUCUAGCACCGGCGACAUCACUUUCAAGUGUCUGCCUUAUCAACCUUCGAUGGUAGUCUAUGCGACUACCAUGGUGAUAACGGGUAACGGAGAAUCAGGGUUCGACUCCGGAGAGGGAGCCUGAGAAACGGCUACCACAUCCAAGGAAGGCAGCAGGCGCGCAAAUUACCCACUCCCAGCUUGGGGAGGUAGUGACGAAAAAUAACGAGACGAUUCUCGUUUGAGAAACGUUAUCGAAAUGAGUACGCUUUACACACGCUAACGAGUAGCAAUUGGAGGGCAAGUCUGGUGCCAGCAGCCGCGGUAAUUCCAGCUCCAAUAGCGUAUAUUAAAGUUGCUGCGGUUAAAACGCUCGUAGUUGAAUUGUGGUCUUAGACAACAGUCCCCCUACAUAGGUGUGGCACGGUUGCUCGAGAUCUUCAUUCGUGGUUGCUGUUGUUGCUCUUGAUUGAGUGUCAAUGGUGCCUCGAGAUUUUACUUUGAAAAAAUUAGAGUGCUCAAAGCAGGUUGUGAUGCCUGAAUAAUGGUGCAUGGAAUAAUAGAAUACGAUCUCGGUUCUAUUUUGUUGGUUUUCGAACUGGAGAUAAUGAUUGAAAGGAACAGACGGGGGCAUUCGUAUUGCUGCGUUAGAGGUGAAAUUCUUGGAUCGCAGCAAGAUGAACAAUUGCGAAAGCAUUUGCCAAGAAUGUUUUCAUUAAUCAAGAACGAAAGUUAGAGGUUCGAAGGCGAUCAGAUACCGCCCUCUAACGGUAAACUAUGCCAACCAGCGAUUCGCCGAAGUUCAUUUAAGACUCGGCGAGCGGCUUUCGGGAAACCAAAGUGUUUCGGUUCCGGGGGAAGUAUGGUUGCAAAGCUGAAACUUAAAGGAAUUGACGGAAGGGCACCACCAGGAGUGGAGCCUGCGGCUUAAUUUGACCCAACACGGGAAAACUCACCCGGCCCGGACACUGGAAGGAUUGACAGAUUGACAGCUCUUUCUUGAUUCAGUGGGUAGUGGUGCAUGGCCGUUCUUAGUUGGUGGAGCGAUUUGUCUGGUUAAUUCCGAUAACGAACGAGACUCUACCCUAUUAAAUAGUGAUAGUAUUGUAAUUUUUGUGCUGAUCACUUCUUAGAGGGACUGGCAAAUUGAAAGCUGCACGAAAAAGAGCAAUAACAGGUCUGUGAUGCCCUUCGAUGUCCGGGGCUGCACGCGCGCUACAAUGAAAGCGUCAACGUGAGUUACGUCCUAACCUGAAAAGGUUUGGCAAUCGAUUGAAACGUUUUCUUGAAUGGAAUAGGGAAUUGCAAUUGUUUCCCUUGAACGAGGAAUUCCCAGUAAGCGUGAGUCAUUAGCUCGCGUUGAUUACGUCCCUGCCCUUUGUACACACCGCCC